rnacentral:rRNA from 1 species
UACGGGGGGGGCAAGCGUUGUUCGGAAUUACUGGGCGUAAAGGGCUCGUAGGCGGCCAACUAAGUCGGACGUGAAAUCCCCAGGCUCAACCUGGGAACUGCGUCCGAUACUGGAUGGCUUGAAUUCGGGAGAGGGAUGCAGAAUUCCAGGUGUAGCGGUGAAAUUCGUAGAUAUUGGGAAGAACACCGGUGGCGAAGGCGGCGCUCUGGACCGAGACUGACGCUGAGGCGCGAAAGCGUGGGGAGCAAACAGG